GGCUUUUAUAAUCAACAAUCUGGAUACAAUUGGCGUCUUGGCGAUAUUUCGGAAAUCAAAAGAUCUCGCUAAUUUCGUUGCAAUUCCACAUCUCAUCAAUAAAUAAAUUCUUUUGGUCCGAUCGAGUAUCAGGAUAUACGUUAAUACUAACAGUUUAAGAAAUAAAAAACAACCACAUUGCAUGGUCGGUCCAGAGAUAUAUAUUUUCUCGGCUUAUUGCCAUGAACGCCGCCCAGGCGUGCUUUCUUUGCCAAGUCUAUAAGUUGAAAUCUGAUCCAACUUGCUCGAAUUGUA